GACGAACCGUGCGAACGUUGUUCGGAAUCACUGGGCUUAAAGGGUGAGUAGGCGGGCUCGCCAGUCUGUGGUGAAAGCCCCCGGCUUAACCGGGGAAGUGCCGUGGAUACUGCGAGUCUUGAGGAGGGUAGGGGCAUCGUGGAACGCUGGGUGGAGCGGUGAAAUGCGUUGAUAUCCAGCGGAACUCCGGUGGCGAAGGCGAGGUGCUGGACCCUUUCUGACGCUGAACCAGCGAAAGCCAGGGGAGCAAACGGGG
rnacentral:rRNA from 1 species